rnacentral:rRNA from 1 species
UGCCCACCAAGGCAAAACAGUUACGGCUCUGAGAGGAGNGGCCCGGAGAUGGGUACUGAGACACGGACCCAGGCCCUAUGGGGCGCAGCAGGCGAGAAACCUUUGCAAUGUGCGAAAGCACGACAAGGUUAAUCCGAGUGUCUCCUGCUAAAGGAGUCUUUUGUCAGUUGUAGAAUCACUGGUGAAUAAGGGGUGGGCAAGUUCUGGUGUCAGCCGCCGCGGUAAAACCAGCACCUCGAGUGGUCAGGAGGUUUAUUGGGCCUAAAGCAUCCGUAGCCGGUUGCAUAAGUUUUCGGUUAAAUCUAUGCGCUCAACGUAUAGGCCGCCGAAAAUACUGUGCAGCUAGGGAGUGGGAGAGGUACACGGUACUCGAUAGGAAGGGGUAAAAUCCUUUGAUCUAUUGAAGACCACCUGUGGCGAAGGCGGUGUACCAGAACACGUUCGACGGUGAGGGAUGAAAGCUGGGGGAGCAAACCGGAUUAGAUACCCGGGUAGUCCCAGCUGUAAACGAUGCAGACUCGGUGAUGCAUUGGCUUGUGGCCAAUGCAGUGCCGCAGGGAAGCCGUUAAGUCUGCCGCCUGGGAAGUACGUACGCAAGUAUGAAACUUAAAGGAAUUGGCGGGGGAGCACCACCAGGGAUGAAGCCUGCGGUUCAUUGGAGUCACGCC